AUAUUAUCAGGAAGAUCAUUUAUCUAUUUAUAUGAAUGAGUGGCCUUGUUCUUUUGCAUGAAACAUACCGGUACUUUCUAUGUUUUAUGUGACACUUAUUUUCACAAUUCAUCCCAGGUAGCCUAGCGGUUAGAGCACUGGGCCAGUAACCUGAAGGUUGCUGGUUUAAAUACCCGAGCCAACGAGGUGAAAAAUCUGUUGAUGUACUCUUGAGCAAAAUGGUGAGCAAGGCACUUAACCGUAAUUUACUCAUUUGCUCCAGGGGUACCGUACCACUACAGGGGUACCACACUACUACAGGGGUACCGCACCACUACAGGGGUACCGUACCACUACAGGGGUACCAGGGGUACCGUACCACUACAGGGGUACCACACCACUACAGGGGUACCGUACCACUACAGGGGUACCACACCACUACAGGGGUACCGUACCACUACAGGGGUACCGUACCACUACAGGGGUACCGCACCACUACAGGGGUACCGCACCACUACAGGGGUACCACACCACUACAGGGGUACCACACCACUACAGGGGUACCACACCACUACAGGGGUACCGUACCACUACAGGGGUACCAGGGGUACCACACCACUACAGGGGUACCACACCACUACAGGGGUACCAGGGGUACCAUACCACUACAGGGGUACCGUACCACUACAGGGGCCGUACCACUACAGGGGUACCACACUACUACAAGGGUACCGUACCACUACAGGGGACCGUACCACUACAGGGGUACCGCACCACUACAGGGGUACCACACCACUACAGGGGUACCGUACCACUACAGGGGUACCGCACUACUACAGGGGUACCACACCACUACAGGGGUACCAUACCCCUACAGGGGUACCGCACCACUACAGGGGUACCAGGUGUACCAUACCCCUACAGGGGUACCGCACCACUACAGGGCUACCAGGGGUACCAUACCACUACAGGGGUACCAGGGGUACCAUACCACUACAGGGGUACCACACCACUACAGGGGUACCGUACCACUACAGGGCUACCUGGUAGUAGAGGGGGUACGCAGCUGGAAGUUGACUGUUGAAUAGGGGCGGCAGGGUAGCCUAGUGGUUAGAGCGUUGGAUUAAUAACCAAAAGGUUGCAAGUUCAAAUCCCCGAGCUGACAAGGUACAAAUCUGUCGUUCUGCCCCUGAACAGGCAGUUAAACCACUGUUCCUAGGCCGUCAUUGAAAAUAAGAAUUAGUUCUUAACUGACUUGCCUAGUAAAAAUAAAGGUUUAAUAAUAAUAAUUUUGCCGUAAAAAAAUACAUGUAGAUUAAGGGCUGGAUUCAAUCCAUAUCGCCUUUGGAGGUGUAACAGAUCCACGAUACGGGUUGAAUCCAGCCCGACUAUCCUCCAUCUAGCACGCUAUUGGCUAAGGCCCCAAUAUACUCCUAUAAGAAAUGCAUGUCAAUUUAAAGUUGUUCUGGUCACUCUUGGCUUGUUAGGCCUAGAUUCCAUCAGAUCAAAGCUGUAAACCCGGUGAUAGCCGACACCCGGGUAGUUGAUGUUUUUUGGCGGUGUCGGAGGCGGAACUCUUUAGGAGCUGUCAAAUCGGUGAGCUGCAACACUUGUGAUCAUUGUCAGGAAGCCACACCCAUCCGACGACAGUUAGAAGUUCCGAACGAGAAAGAGUUUAUUGAAUUAUACGAAUAAUAACGCUCAAAUUUAAAAAUCAUUAAAACAAAAAAUAAGAGGAUUUCUAGCAGGCUAAUCAAGGUGUAGAUUACAUCACACAUUCCAGUGUUUUUUAAAAUGUAUUUUUGUACUUGAUUUAAAAACUAGGCAAGUCUGACAGCCUAGGAACAAUGCGUUAACUACCUUCGGUUACGAGUCCAACGCUCUAACCACGAGGCUAUGCUGCCGCCCCAGGUAGCCUUUGAACAAGGCUGCAUGGGUUUUCUCAACGCGACUCCGCGCCGCCAACAGCAAUGUCCACUUUAGGUGUAAUGCCGGGAGCCGCUUGUGGAUUUGACAGCUCGAACGCAGUUCCACCUCAGACACCGCCAAAACAACCACUAUCCGGGUGUCGGAUAUCACUGAUCUGAUAGAAUUCAGCCCCAAAUCUAAUGUAUUAUAAUACUGUAGGGGUUAAUGUAAUAUAAUACUGUAGGGGUUAAUAUAUUAUAAUACUGUAGGGGUUAAGGGUUAAUGUAAUAUAAUACUGUAGGGGUUAAUGUA
ensembl:lncRNA